CCGGCGCACGGGUGAGUAACGCGUGGGAACGUACCUUCUUGUGGGGGACAACAGUUGGAAACGACUGCUAAUACCGCAUAAGCCCUUCGGGGGAAAGACUUCGGUCGCGAGGAGAUCGGCCCGCGUUAGAUUAGCUAGUUGGUAGGGUAAAGGCCUACCAAGGCUACGAUCUAUAGCUGGUCUGAGAGGAUGAUCAGCCACACUGGAACUGAGACACGGUCCAGACUCC
rnacentral:rRNA from 1 species